UGUCCCUGAGAUCCAAAACCCAUUCCUCCCCAACCUCCCAUGCGUUUCCUCCACUGCCCCGAUUCACCAGCCGCCAUGAGCACAACGUGCGCCGCCCCACCGCCGCUCCCGGCCGCCGCGCCACACCGCCUCGGAUCCGUCCAUCGCAGCGCCCCCACCCAUGGAUCUGGCCGUCGCGCCGCCCCACUCCAACCCUAGCUUUCGGCCACGCGCAUGACCCCAUCUGGCGGCGCCACCGCAACCGCCACUAACCAACCUCCGCUCGUCGGGAUCCCGCGGCUGCGCGACAGCCACCAACCCACGUUGCAAGACGCCGGGAUCCUGCCACCGCGGACCUUCCUCGACCUUCCACUGUGACCUUCCUCCACUUGCCACCAUGACCUUCUCCCUUCCGCUGCGCGCCAUCGCCUCCAGCGGUUCCACCUGCAUCACCUCCACCUCCCACUGCCAGCUCCUGUGCGCGGCUCCCUCCAGCUUCCUCCGCGCCCGCCUCCACUUGAACUUCCCCCAUCCCUGCUUCCUCCCGGCCCCGACGUCCCCUGUGGCGGCGACGUGCAUCACCCCCAGCCACGCACCUCUCCGGCGAGUGGAGCUACUGCGCGGCGCCGCGUGGAUGCAGUUACCACUGCCUCCCGGCACGUAGAUCGAGCCAUGGCCGGCGAGAUCGACCACGGCCGCGGCCUGAGCACCCAUCCAUUCCUCCCCUGCAGCUUCCUCCCCUUCCUCGCCAUCGUCACCUGUUGUUGCUUCGACACCACGAGCUGACCCAUCUCAGGCCGGCGUCCCUGCGCGCAGCCGCUGACCGGUGCCAUGGUCGCCCGUUGCCUGCGUCCUCCGUCAUGCUAGUCACCUUCUCCUUGGCGACCAGUCCCUACAUGACCAGCAUGGAGAAGCCAGCACACAAGGGUGUCAGCACAGUAGAGGCCGGGAGCUCGCCUGCCUUGAAGAUUAUCUGAAGGACUAGAGCACAAUAUCGUGAAGAAACUGUAAUUAUUGCACGUUCAUGAAGCACGUGACUCAAGCAUCAAAGAGCAACUAGUUUUAAAGUAGUGGUGGUGGAAUAUGUGUGCGAUGCAUGAUUUGAGGCAAGAUCUUUCUUUAUUAGUUUGAUCUUCGAAGCCGGGCACUGAUGGAUUACUAAUUUACUUCUCUGAAUUAAUCAAACAACUGCUACAAGGUAGUGAUGUAUCGCUGCAGCCCCGACGGUCGACGGCGUCGUUGCGGUGCAUUUGUCUUGACAAUGGGCGGCUAUGACGACAACUAUGCUGACCGGCAACCUGAAUCUGAGGACCGCCGUCAUGGUUCUUCUUGCAUCGGUGCGGUAUUUUUUUGGAUUAACAGCUUAAUUGAGGGAGAUGACAAUCUACUUAACAACAUGAAGGGACAAAGACGAGAGCCUUGUACAUUGAAAAAGACGAAGAUUUUGAUGUGUGAAUUUGGCUCCUUCCCACUAUCCUAAAACCGUAUCCAUAUCAAUCGCCGAUUCCUUCCCCUGUCCAGUUCUGUAUUGUUCACUAACUGAUUUUGAUGUCUGAAGUUCAACUGUAUAUGUAGG